rnacentral:rRNA from 1 species
UUGAUCCUGGCUCAGGACGAACGCUGGCGGCGUGCCUAAUACAUGCAAGUCGAACGAACUCUGGUAUUGAUUGGUGCUUGCAUCAUGAUUUACAUUUGAGUGAGUGGCGAACUGGUGAGUAACACGUGGGAAACCUGCCCAGAAGCGGGGGAUAACACCUGGAAACAGAUGCUAAUACCGCAUAACAACUUGGACCGCAUGGUCCGAGUUUGAAAGAUGGCUUCGGCUAUCACUUUUGGAUGGUCCCGCGGCGUAUUAGCUAGAUGGUGGGGUAACGGCUCACCAUGGCAAUGAUACGUAGCCGA